UACGUAGGGGCCUAGCGUUGCCCGGAAUUACUGGGCGUAAAGCGUGCGCAGGCGGCUUUGCAAGGCAGAUGUGAAAUCCCCGGGCUCAACCUGGGAACUGCAUUUGUGACUGCAAGGCUAGAGUACGGUAGAGGGGGAUGGAAUUCCGCGUGUAGCAGUGAAAUGCGUAGAUAUGCGGAGGAACACCAAUGGCGAAGGCAAUCCCCUGGACCUGUACUGACGCUCAUGCACGAAAGCGUGGGGAGCAAACAGG
rnacentral:rRNA from 1 species